CACUGAAUCCUCUGGGCAUCUUGUUCAAAUUUAAAUGCUGGUUCAGCAGGUCUGGGACAGGGCCUGAGAUUCUGCAUUUCUAGCAAGCUCCCAGAGGAUGCCAAU
rnacentral:pre_miRNA from 1 species